rnacentral:rRNA from 1 species
CAGUCGCCGCGGGAAUACGAAGGGUGCAAGCGUUACUCGGAAUUACUGGGCGUAAAGCGUGCGUAGGUGGUGGUUUAAGUCCGUUGUGAAAGCCCUGGGCUCAACCUGGGAAUUGCAGUGGAUACUGGGUCACUAGAGUGUGGUAGAGGAUAGUGGAAUUUCCGGUGUAGCAGUGAAAUGCGUAGAGAUCGGAAGGAACAUCUGUGGCGAAGGCGACUAUCUGGGCCAAUACUGACGCUGAGGUACGAAAGCAUGGGGAGCAAACAGGAUUAGAUACCCCCGUAGUCCCUGUCUCUUAUAA